AUUGAACGCUGGCGGCAUGCUUUACACAUGCAAGUCGAACGGUAACAGGCCGCAAGGUGCUGACGAGUGGCGAACGGGUGCGUAAUGCAUCGGAACGUGCCCAGUCGUGGGGGAUAACUACUCGAAAGAGUAGCUAAUACCGCAUACGAUCUAUGGAUGAAAGCGGGGGACCGCAAGGCCUCGCGCGAUUGGAGCGGCCGAUGUCAGAUUAGCUAGUUGGUGGGGUAAAGGCUCACCAAGCCAACGAUCUGUAGCUGGUCUGAGAGGACGAGCAGCCACACUGGAACUGAGACACGGCCCAGACUCCUACGGGAGGCAGCAGUGGGGAAUUUUGGACAAUGGGCGCAAGCCUGAUCCAGCAAUGCCGCGUGCAGGAAGAAGGCCUUCGGGUUGUAAACUGCUUUUGUACGGAACGAAACGGCUCUGGUUAAUACCCGGGGCUAAUGACGGUACCGUAAGAAUAAGCACCGGCUAACUACGUG
rnacentral:rRNA from 1 species